rnacentral:pre_miRNA from 1 species
CAGCGCCUCCUGCUCUGCCCACUCUCCCCGCUACGUGGUGGCCAGGCGUGGGCCUCGGGGCAGCAC